rnacentral:rRNA from 1 species
AGAGUGAACGCUGGCGGUAGGCCUAACACAUGCAAGUCGAACGGCAGCACAGUAGGAGCUUGCUCUUACGGGUGGCGAGUGGCGGACGGGUGAGGAAUACAUCGGAAUCUACCUUUUGGUGGGGGAUAACGUAGGGAAACUUACGCUAAUACCGCAUACGCCCUUCGGGGGAAAGCCGGGGACCAGCAAUGGCCUGGCGCUGAUAGAUGAGCCGAUGUCGGAUUAGCUAGUUGGUGAGGUAAUGGCUCACCAAGGCGACGAUCCGUAGCUGGUCUGAGAGGAUGAUCAGCCACACUGGAACUGAGACACGGUCCAGACCUCCGUACGGGAGGCAGCAGGUGGGGAAUAUUAGGACAAGUGGGCGACAAAGCCUGACUCCGAGACCAUACCCGGCGGUGGGUAGAAAGAACGG